GUCUAGUUUGCCCAACUGAGCUGAAGGCUGGAGCAGUACCAUCCAUCAAAUUGUCGUCAUCAACCUUCAGGCAAGCUGCAUGGAAUAUCAUUUAAUUUACAGUUUUGCAUAGGUAUAUUUCAAUGAUUUCAUUCAUUAUUUUUGUCAGUCGUCUUGUCUCAGAUGCUCGGCCCAUGCGUGUUUCAUUUGUCCAACAAAGGACAGGUGCUACCUGGAGAAUAAUAAAUCAGAAACAAAACAAAUCUAACCUAACAUAACCCAACAUAACCUACAAACCAACAAAAACACAACAGUUCCUUCCUUGUGGGUUCCCUACCUAGAAUGUCCCUCAGGCUCAUUUCAUCCUGAACUAUCCCAUAUGGCUGCGCUCGGCAAGUAGGGAACCCCAACAGGAGACAAGAGGUGACAUCUGCACAGCGAGAUGGGCGUUUGCAGCUGCAGCUGCAAAGAAGCUGAGUGACGAGCUGACCACUGCAGGGUCUGGUCAAGAGCUGUCGAGGGACAGCGACGGCGGUAGUCCGACCGGCGAUCCUGGACCUGCUCCGGAACGGCCUGGAUCAGAUCCUGGACCUGAUUGUCCAGUGAUCGUCUUCGAGGAAACCACUCCUCUUGAGCAAGUAGUGCGCCUGGAAGGGGAGCUGAAUGACAUGCAACAGCGCCUAUGGAAGCUCAGCAGGAAGUGGCGGAACGAGAAGAGGUCGCGCCUUCAGCGCCGCCUGCGUAUCGCCACCGAAAAAGGAUCACAGCUGGACCGUCUUCUAGAGUCCGGGGUUCUGUCCCGUGAUCACUGAUCAGGUGCGCCAGGCGGCGACAGGGCGCCGGAUCCGCUGGUCUCCUGGAGACGUGUCCAAGGCCCUCGGUCUGCGGUGCCUCACGCGCAGGGGCUACAAGUACGCUCAAGGUGUGCUGAAGAUCCCGCUGCCCUCUGUGAGCACCCUAUCCCGCUGGACCCGCGCGUUCCGCGUCACACCCGGUGUGAUGGACGCCGCUGCUUCCGUCCUUGAGGCUAUCACGACUGACAUGAGCGACAUGGACCGUCUGUGCGUCAUCAGCUUCGAUGAGAUGUCGCUCGACAGCCGCUACUGCUACGACAGUACCGCCGACCAAGUGUUGCGCGGUUCGAAGCUGCAGCUACUGAUGGUGCGGGGACUUUGCUCGCCGUGGAAACAGCCCCUGUACUACCAGCUGGACUCAGCCAUGACGCCAGGCGAGCUGGUGCACGUCAUUGUCCGCCUCGAGAGCAUCGGUCUGUCGGUGGUGGCGACAACGAGUGACAUGCACUCCUCCAACGAAAAGCUGUGGGAGCAGAUGGGAGUCACGCCAACCAAAACCUGGAUCAAGAACCCACACGAUGACAGCAGAUCCAACGCCCAGCGGAGCUGACGGCAGCGGUGGAGGAGGAGUUUCGGGCCGUCACCCUGCAGCCGAAAGUGCCGCCGGUCAUCAGUAUCACAGAGGAGGCUGAAGACGGCGGUGCGGCGACCAACACUGUGCAGGCGAGGGCUACAGCUGCUGAGGACGCCUGGCAUUCGUGGCUGGUUAUGUGGUAGCGAGCUGCCAAAAUAUCGACCCAUCCCUCGGUCUGCCGACGCGUGUGGCGCCACCGAGCAGUGUCCCACAGAGUUGGAUCCGGUCGGUGAGCAGAGGAGGGCUAAUGGUGCCGUCGCCCGUCAGAGCAUUGGAUGUCCGUGGUGGAGGCGUUCGAUGUGCUCUUCUGCAUCCUCAUGGGCCCAUCUGCGGACCGGAACCCGGGCAUUGUUCGGCGGCUCAUGUUAGCUCUGUUAGUUGUGGAAGGUGCUGAAGCAGGAUGUCGGGCUUGAGCGGCUGCUGCUCACAUAGCUGGCUCCGCUUCUGCUCAUCUGGCCACUCAUCUGGUUCUCUGCCGCUCGCCAGGAUGACUCAUCUACUGCUCAUCUACCCCUCGCCUGGCUGACUUAUCUGCCGCUCACCUGGCCGGGUUGUCUGCCGCUCGCCUGGCCGUCCACCGCUCGCCUGUCUGGCCCGUCUGCCGCUCGCCUGGCUGGCCUGUCUGCCGCUGAUCUGGCGGACUUGUCUACUGUUCACGUACCGCUCACCUGGCUAGCCUGCCUGCCGCUCGCCUGUCCGUCUGCUGCUCGCCUUGUUGGCUCGUCUGCCGCUCGCCUGUUCGUCUGCUGUUCGCCUUGUUGGCUCGUCUGCCGCUCGCCUGUCCGUCUGCUGCUCGCCUGGUUGGCUCGUCUGCCGCUCAUCGUGCACUUGCAGGCUUGUCUGCCGCUCAUUUGGCUGGCUUACGCCGUAAGCCAGCCAUGUACGCCGUACAGUACGCCGUGCGGUAGACUACCGCUGAUCUGGCCGUCUUCCGCUCACCGCUUAAAGGCUACAAGUACGCUCAAGCUGGUGUGCUGAAGAUUCCGCUGCCUUCUGCGAGCACCUUGUCCUGCUGGACCCGCGCAGUGCGCCUAGAGACUGACACGGCGUUUGUCAGCACUGGUCAGCGGCUGGAGCGUGACAACCUCGGCAACGAAACGUUGGAGGUUCUGCAAAUACAGAUCCAGUUCCAGCGUCCGCCGUCUAGUGGAGCUGACGGCAGCGGUGGAGGAGGCGUUCCGGGCGGUCACCUUGCAGCCGACAGUACCGCCGGUCAUCGGAGAGUAUGCUGGAGACGACGGCGCAGCGACCGACACCGGUAAGGCGGUGCCGAAGCUACCUGAGGACGUCUGGCUAAAGUGGGAGGGAAUGACAGUGAUCGAGCGAGGCGUUCGAGGUGCUCUUCUGCAUCAUCGUAGACCGUCUGUGGUCCUGGAUCCGGGCAUUGUUCGGCGGCUGUUGGAGCUGGUUCGCACCGGGCUGCAUAUCCGACUCAGAUCCCAUGAAUCAAGCGCAAGCUGCUGAAACUGUCGUCGCCUGGGAGCAGCCAAACGGGUCCGUCAGCGUGUCUGUAGUUCUGUGGUAGAAGAAGCUGAGACAUCUGAAUGUCAGUUUUGACCGGCGUGUGAUAGCCAGACUCAUUGCUGCCCUCCUAUCGACGCGCCGUGAGGUGUGACUAGCGACCAUUGGGCGUCUGUGCGGGUGACUUGUCCGCCGGAGCCGAGUGCCUGGCCUAGUCGGGAGAUUCAAGUGUGAUUGCCAGGCUUAGUGCUGUCCUAUGAAUGUGUAGGUACUGAUGUGCAGUGUUGAUUAUGCUAUAUUAUUGAUUUAUAUAAUGACGGUUACCAUU
rnacentral:lncRNA from 1 species